rnacentral:rRNA from 1 species
AUGAACGCUGACAGAAUGCUUAACACAUGCAAGUCGAUGGGGAAGUGGUGCUUGCACCAUGGCAACCAUGGCGGACGGGUGAGUAACGCGUAAGGGACUUACCUGCAGGACUGGGAUAACAGGGGGAAACUCCUGACAAGACCGGAUAAUGUCAUGGAGCUGCAUGGCUUUAUGAUGAAAGGAGACGCCUGCGGAGGGCCUUGCGUCCUAUUAGCUAGUUGGUGAGGUAAUGGCUCACCAAGGCGAAGAUAGGUAGCCGGCCUGAGCGGGGGGACGGCCACAAGGGGACUGAGAUGCGGCCCUUACUCCUACGGGAGGCAGCAGUGGGGAAUAUUGGACAAUGGGGGCAACCCUGAUCCAGCAAUUCUGUGUGCACGAAGAAGGUUUUCGGAUUGUAAAGUGCUUUCAGCAGGGAAGAAGUAAGUGACGGUACCUGCAGAAGAAGCGACGGCUAAAUACGUG